UUUUUAUUAUCCAAAGAAAACCAAUCGCUUUAUCGAAUUUUAUACGCAUUUAAUUAAUUAAAUCCAAGGAGUAUAUUGAAUCGUGAAUAAAACUGCGCCAUGCAAACAUCGAUUACCAGUAUCAAGAUGUAUUCUUACGUGCGGAUAGCGUUGGUAGCGAUAUGUCUCCUAGCCGUCUACAUUCAAUGUCCGCAUUGCAACAAGGUGCCACACGGUUAAUGAAAUAUUUUUUUAAUUUCCGUCAUCAAAUAACAUGACGAACUCAUUGAUAUGUCUAAAAAUGAUAAUCGAAAUUAUUAAUAAAAAAUACUAAAUAUAUAUUUAAACGUAACAUAAACAUGCUUUGAUGAUUAAUAAGUUCCAAUAAUAUAUAUCAAUAAUUAUAUUGAAUUUAUUAAAAAAUGUUAUAAAAAUUU